UACGUAGGGGGCAAGCGUUGUCCGGAUUUAUUGGGCGUAAAGAGCGUGUAGGCGGCCAUACAGGUCAGCUGUGAAAACUCGAGGCUCAACCUCGAGACGUCGGUUGAAACCGUAUGGCUAGAGUCCGGAAGAGGAGAGUGGAAUUCCCGGUGUAGCGGUGAAAUGCGCAGAUAAUCGGGAAGAACACCCGUGGCGAAGGCGGCUCUCUGGGACGGUACUGACGCUGAGACGCGAAAGCGUGGGAGCGAACGAGGA
rnacentral:rRNA from 1 species